rnacentral:rRNA from 1 species
UACGUAGGGGGCAAGCGUUGUCCGGAUUUAUUGGGCGUAAAGAGCGUGUAGGCGGUUUGGUAGGUCCGUUGUGAAAACUCGAGGCUCAACCUCGAGACGCCGGCGGAAACCAUCAGGCUAGAGUCCGGAAGAGGAGAGUGGAAUUCCUGGUGUAGCGGUGAAAUGCAUAGAUAUCGUCAAGAACACCUAUAGCGAAGACAGCUUACUGGGCUGUAACUGACGCUGAGGCACGAAAGUGUGGGGAUCAAACAGG